UACGUAGGGGGGCAAGCGUUGUCCGGAUUUACUGGGCGUAAAGAGCGUGUAGGCGGCCAGGCAGGUCUGUUGUGAAAACUGGAGGCUCAACUUCCAGACGUCGACAGAAACCGCUUGGCUAGAGUCCGGAAGAGGAGAGUGGAAUUCCUGGUGUAGCGGUGAAAUGCGCAGAUAUCAGGAAGAACACCGAUGGCGAAGGCAGCUCUCUGGGACGGUACUGACGCUGAGACGCGAAAGCGUGGGGAGCGAACAGG
rnacentral:rRNA from 1 species